CGACUUACCUAGCAGGGUACCUUGAUCAAAAAGGAGGUUCACCUAGGGCGAGGCUCGGCCAUUGCACUAGGGCCGUGCUGACCCCUGCGAAUUUCACAAAUGUAGGAAUCUCGACUGCAUAAUUAGUGGCAGUGGGGGACUGCGUCCACACUCUCCCCUG